AUAAUAUCAACCAGUUCCCUGCUACAGACACUGCCAGCCAUAUCAUAGCACAAAAUAAAACACAUUUUCCUAGUUUUUUUGUAUGUCUGAAACGGAGAAAUAGAUCUCAAACGCAUUUGUUUUAUUCUUAUUUUGCGAUCCUUACAUUUCCAGCGACCAAAAUGCUCAUUUCAUUGCAUUCUGGGGAAACGCAAUGGGCGUCCGCUUUGAAAUUAUCCUGUGUUGCAAUGGUGAUGUUUCUGGCCUGUCCAGUGAUGUCCAUGGAUGUGCUGGUGCCGGCGCUGAUCAACGCUCUCAACGGGAGUGACGUCAGAAUCACAUGUACUUUCACCUCAUGCUACAAGCUGGACCCCAGCAAGUUUGCAAUGAACUGGACAUAUCAGGAGACAAGCAACAGCACAGAGGAGAUGUUCAUGACCUAUAAGAACACCUAUAAGAUGAUACCCUUGAAGCCCAGUCGAUUUGGAGAGCGAGUCAUGUUUACUGGAAACCUGGAUAAGAACGACCUUUCCAUCACCAUCUCGGACGUGCAGCUGACAGACGAGGGCAUCUACAACUGCUAUGUGCGCAACCCUCCAGACCGCAUUCAGGGCCAUGGCACCAUCCAGUUUGCCGUCCUGACUGAAUUACCUCCACCAAGGGACUCGACCAUUGCUGUGGCCAUCGGCGCAUCUGUGGGGGGCAUCCUUGCUCUGCUCAUUCUGUCCAUGGUGGUGGUGAAGUGCAUCCGCAGACAUAAGAACCAGGAGCUGAUCUCAGACGAGCAGAAGAUGGAAGAAGAGGGCAAAGUAGAUGGUGAAGGAGGCACAGAAGAAGCAACAAAACAGCCCUAACCCGUCAUGUUAGCCCUGGAGGCCUAAUGGAUGGUGGAGCUCCAUGCUUCAUGUUCUGAAAUUUAAGCCUCCUGCCUGAAGAUAUAUAAACUUGUUUGACCCUUCAUCCUGUUAUGGUCCCAUUCAACACUCCCUGGUAUUCUCGUGUAGCGAUCAAACAUGCCAUGUUAGGAAGAUCUCCCUGCCACAGUGCCAUGGUGUCCAGUCACUGGUGAAAAAUAACAGAGGGUUUUAGGCUGCCUCUUCAACUCAAUAUGGCAGCUUAAGGUGAUAACAACAUCCUAUAGAAAUAUUCAUUUGGUCCACCCUUUUUACAAAUUUACUAAAGUAUUUUUUCUGCCACUAGUAACACUAAUAUUAUUAGCCAUCCAGUAUUUCUGCUGAGAAUUUUCUAAAGGGAUGAGUUUUAAAUUAUACAAAAUCCUCCUUACAACUGCCAAAGUGUUUUUUACCCUUAUGGUGUUUAUACGUCUUGACAGCUUCUUGAGAAAUCACUGCCCUCAACAUCCUCUCAGAUGGAUGCAGAAACAUAUUGUGUGUUUUUGUGCGUGCCUUCUUGUUGUGCUAGUUUGCUCCAAUUGAGUCUAAACGUUUAUGUUGUCUAAAGUAAGUCCAGCAGGUAUAACAGCAGGUUAUACCUAGAACCUACUAAAAUGGAAGGACCAUCCACCUGUGUUCAAAAUUUGUCAUUUUCUAGUUUACAGUACAUAUUACACCCCUAGAACAUGUACAAUCAUUGCAUGACAAUUUUCUUACAUCAUACAUAAAAAAAAAUUGCACAAAAUAAAUCACAGAUUUGCACAAGCAUUUGGCAUAUUCCAAAAAUAGGGUAUACAGUACUUUGGUGCCCCAAAGUCUAUCAGAUGUACUUGUUAUUCAACAUAAUGUAACUAAAAUCAUAGGGACUAGAGAAUGUCUGUCUAGGCUGUCUUACCUUUACGAACUUGCAUUUAUUAACCAUAUUCUGUGAUUAACAGAAGUCAGACAUUGUUAUAUUGAUUUUCAUAAUUUAGGUAUAAUACAUCUCCUUAUUAAUUUUUAAUGUAUUUAAUCAAAGUAUAUAGGGGAUUUAUGGUCAUCUGUCAUAAGAUGACUCUCUGAAAUACAUCCAACCAAGGCUCAAUCUUGAUACGUGAUUUUGACCACGAUUCUAUUUCUGUAGAACCUGAAAUACUUUUCUCCUGGUACAUUUUCAUGCACUUUUCUUAUGAAAUGUCUACAAAAGGGCAUUGCUUCUUGUAGGUACAAUACUUGCUUCUGGCUACGUUCCUGCACAACUUGAAAUACAUUGCUCCCAAUAUGCUCACUGCAUUUUUCUUUUGAAGCCUCCAUAAGAACAUGUUGUCCUUUGUAAGUAUCACAUAUGCCAAACUAUAAUCCAAACGUCUAAGCAUUAUCUAAAACAAAUCUGAUGGAAAACCCCAGUUACUGUAGCAUCCAUACCAUUUUAUUCAUGGGUUUAAGCUCUUUUGUUACACAAACAGUACUGCACCAUUCCAUGUGAGCUAAUGAACCAACAACCACAAUCUGGGAAAAGAUAUGUGAAAACACAUCUGUUUACAAAUCUUACUCAUUUUUAAGAGUUUAGAUGUCUUUAUAUGGCAUUGUUAAAAAAAAAAAAAAAAACUGCUUGAAAAUAUAAUUUGUCAGUCAUACUCUAAUCAUAAUUUGUGGAUGGAAAAAACAUCCAGAAUCACUUACCAAGAAUGUCCCUGAGUUGAAGACAUAUUUUGAAGUGAGAUUGAUGACACCAUUUAGACAAAUACUGCUGUUAAAUGAAGGUGACUAUCCUCUGGUGGAGUCUUAUAUUUUUUGCGUUUGUGGAUCUACUUGCACCUUGCGGCUGGUUAAAAAAGGACCAUCAGGCCCAUUUUUUAUCACCAUUUCCACCUCAAAGAGCCAUUGCUGUACCCUAUCCAAACCUGCUGCCAACAUUCCAGCGCACUACACCCAACCCUCCUAAUGCUGGCAAAGUGGCUGAUUAACUUUAAGGAGCCCAAACUAGUUCCCAUGCUUGUUCCUUCCCUCAAACCAGUUCUUCUUUUCUGAAUCCUGCCUGGGGUGUCUUGAAGUCUUAGUCCUGUCUGGAGUCCCUUCUUCUCUUUCGAUCUCAGCCUCUUGUCACUGAUGUGCUCUACCUCCUAGCUCCUCCAUUGCUGCUGGUCCUAUUUAAACUUAAUCUUUGUUGUAUCCUAUGGUUCUGAAGAGCACCUAAGCUCAUUAAUGUCUGCUGCUCCCACUCCACAAACUCUCGACUCUUUAAUUGGUCAGUUGGUCACUAUGAGUUAUGUUGUAUGACAUUGGGGAAUUUACUUCUAAGACUAAUUACUCUGAAUUGUAUAAAAACAAACCAAUGAAAUGCCUACAGAAUUAUUGAGUGCAAUCUGCAUGUGCAGCCACUCCCAUAAUUAGGAUUAUAUAAAAUGCAUCAUGAUGGCCAUGCCGUCCAGAAUGUGGUGGAUUCCUGUAUUCACGUAAAGGUUGUGAUCUUCGUGCUACUGUACAUGUCUGAACUAGCAUGUAGAUGCAGAGCUUGUGAGUUCAUGCCCACAUUGAGAGGGCAUCCCUAUGGCUUCACUAAGAUUGCAGCUCGUUUUGUUACAAGUGUGAGCCUUCUGGUCCCUCCCUCAUUUGAUAAAACCAAAGAUCGGUCAUCGAUAUGUCAGAGGGUGAGGGAUCAAAUUCUUUAGCGAUAGUUUGGAGUGCUUUUGGCCUCCAGGGUUCCUGUUCCUAAGUCAUAUUUUGUGGAUGAUUGUUGCUCUUUCCAGGGUGCCACUAUGUUUAGGCUUCAGGUCUGUCUGCUGUGAGCCUGUUCAGGUAAAUGGGAUAUGAAAGGAAUAUAAAAGUGUCUUGGGUUUAUCCCAUCAAGAUUAGUUACAUUUUGAAUUUCUAUCUUGCACAGUGGGACAUAUGACAUCCACAGCCACGCUCACUGCUCAGGUGCACUGGCUUAGCUGGCCCCAGAGCUUUGCAAAUAUGCGUUUCUCUCAGUGAGCCUUAUCACAUAGAGCCUGUGCAAGGUCAGAGAGGAUGAGGACGAGGUUUUGUUGGUCUGAACCACUUGGAUAUAGACUACAAACCACACUCAUCAUUACAGCACCUUCCCUGUCAUUUUCCCCUGAGUCCUUCCUUUUAGAGAUGGGGAACCAUCUAGCACCUGCAUCCAGAUCUUUGGAACGUCCAUGUGUUGUCCAUAGACGAGAGUGCCUACACCUUGAAGUGGAGUCUAUUUGUUGUUUUGUGUGAGUCUAUUUGUUGUUUUGUGUGCACCUUGCUGAGAACACCUCCAAAACUUGCACGAUUAGUAAGUUUAAGUGGAGGUGAGCAUAAACUACGUUGCUGCCGUCUCUGCUCAUCAUGAUGCUUCUUGCCAAGAACACCCCCAAAACUUGUCGUGUCAGUAAGUUCGAGCGGAGGUGAAUAUAUUUUACGUUGCUGCCAUCUCUGCUCAUCAUAAUGCAGUGGAUGGUAGGGUGCUCAAGAAGCAUGCAUGACCUUCUCGCCCGCCUUUCAAACAUUUAAUGCUUAUGCCUUUGGUGGAGCUUCAUCUCUCAUGCUUUCUGAUUGGCAUACACUACCCAAAUCUAUAAUAGAUUCAGCUGCUGUGUUUGCAUGCAUUUACAGUAAUGACGCACAUGCAGAUUAUGCUCACCAAUUCCAUAAGGCAUAUAAUUAGCCUGUUUUUAUACUAUGGAAACUAAUACUGUACAACAAUGUCCGCAUUCCCUUCUUCAGGCAACAAUGGUUAUAUAUAUAUAUAUAUGUAGCCAAGACAUUCUUCGUGAUUCUUUCCAGCCUCCUUUCACUAGGUUUUUAUUUACAGCCUUGUUGCUUGGGUCUCUUUGCUUCACAAUGGGCCUUCAAACUCCACCAAGGCCAGUCAACCCAUUGACUCCCACUUUGGGUCCACUCUCCUUUGGUGUCAUCCCUCAGGCUCAGCUGGGCUUAUUUUUUCCUUUGGUUCCUCAAUUUUUAAAAGUUAUGUAUAAAAAAAAAAUAUUUAAAUGGGAGUUUCAGGAAUACUUUUGUACCCUAUUUAUGGAUAAUGCCAAUUCCAAAACAUUGCUUUUACACAUCAACAUCAUCACUUAAUGUGCAAUGAUUAUGUGGCAAGUGAAACAUUGAGAUAGAUAUGUGUAUUUAUAGAUAUAGACCAAAAAACAAACUUGAUUGUUAAUAUUAUUGAUUGUGUUUGCAAUGUAUGUUGUGAUGUGUUUUUUGGAAUGUGUGAAUUUAUUUUACGUUAAUAUCUUCAUGAACAAAAAAAGUUGUGCAACUAUUUUGUAAUCAAUAAUGAAUUUCCAAACACUUACAAAUUAACCUGAUAAUCAAAAUUCCCAUCUAAGCUUAUCAUCAGUUUAGAAAAAUAGGCUACACAGAUUUAAAUUGACUACUAAGGUUGGGCAAAUAAAGCAUACUGGAUUAAGUAAAUUGUGCCAAAAUGAGACCCUUGAUAGCACACUUACAUCGCAGAGACCUCUAUUGGAUGUUUACACCUGAAAGAUGUCUUUUACGUCUACUUCUAGACAACAAAUAUAUAUUAAGAAUAUGUCUUUGAGAUGUUUAAAACGCAGAACUAUCACACCGCAGACCUUUUAUGGACAUUUAUCAGACCUCUGAGCACAUCGGAUGCUUUUAAGACCAAACAAUCUUAAAAAUACAUCUUGCAGGGGGGCAGGUCCUCUAUAUGCUUCUGCUAAGUUUAAAGAACAGCCUCAACAUCAUUACAGUAUAAUUUUGUGUUUUAAUGAAAUGUAUGUAUUAAAUAGUUCUAUUAAAUCAAAAGUAAUUAUAUCAAAAUAUAUUUAUAUGUAUGUAUAUUGUAAUCUUGAAUGACGUUGAAAAGUAGCAGUAUAUGUCUUGUUUAAACAUUCUAUAUAUUUAAAUUGAAACAGACAGUAUCAUGCAGAAGUAGAAUACUACAUUCACUCAUUAACAAACAGCGAUUCUUUGUUGUAAAAUUUAACUUAUUUAUGACAUGUGCUAUUUUGUCUAUAAACCAUAACAGUUUAAACUAUUCUAGUUCGUAUUUUACUUUAUCAUGCAUGGUUACUUGGUUUCGCAUGCUGUAAUUCUACAUUUAUUCAGCCCCGGCCUAAAGCCUGAAGCCACAGUGAUUUUGAGCCCAGGAUUGCUCACCCACAGCAGGACAAAGCUGACAUUGGAGCUGUUCAAGCACACUUUAACUCACUUAAUGCCCUUCUAAGAGGUUUAUGCUUCUUUUUUCUUUAUCGACAAAAGCGUUAUGUUACACUUCCACAUUAUAUUGUAUAGAACUUAGUCAGGGUAGGCGCCAAAUCAAAUGAGCUAGUGAAAUAUUACACAUACAUUGAUCAAGAAUUUACAAUGGCGCCCAGUGAAUAACAGUUCUAAUAAACCAUAUUGUGCAUUAUGGCUUUUGUUUGCUGUAGAUUUUUGUCAAAUUGCUGGAUUAUUAAGAUUUUAUUAGACUUUUUUUUGCCAGUUUAACAAUUAUUUUUUCAAUUGUUCAACUGGUAAAACAAAAACAAAACCAACAACAACAAAAUCCAGCAAUUUGACAAAUUUCCCCUGCUAUAUUUAAAUUCCUGUUAAAGAUAGAAAAGUGCUACCUUAACCAAGUUCUAUUACAAUUAGUAUUUUAUCAAUCAUAUUAUAUUACUUCUUGUUACAAAAAAUUUGUAAAAAAAAAACAAAAAAAACGUAUUUGUUUAUUUAUUACAUUGCAUAUGUAUACUUUUUGUAAGGAGAUCCAUUCCUUAUUUUUCUUCAUGCUACUGUCAUUAAUAUUAUUUCAAGAAUUUAUUCAGUUAUAUGAUUUAAUCAGUUGAUUUAUUGUUAUGGUAUGAAAUAAAUUUUCACUGAGGUAUUAUUGUUUGCAUUUCCCAGCUAAACUUGUCUAAUCUAAAAGACAUCUUAAAAAUAGCCCAAAACUAGACUAGUCGUCAAAUAUAUUAGACAGACUUUAUAUGUGUAAUCAUUCAUUUCUGUUUAUUUGGCGACUAAUCGAGUUUUGGCCUAUUCCUAGAUGUCUAUUGACAGCCCAAAUUUAGCCUUGUUUUAGCCAAGACAACUAUGUUUAGAUGUCUAUUAGACAUCUUUUAAAAGUAAAAAAUAAAAUAAAAUCUUGCUAGGUAGAGUUUGUUACUUUUUUGCCAACUGCAUCCACAAAAUCUACUAUAAAUUUAUGGUGAUUUAACACUAUAAUCUGAUUUGCAGCACAGCAAUUAUUAAAAUUAUUAAGCCAGUUGGUGUAAAUCAGAUGACAACAAUUUUAUGAUUCAUAGGUUAAAUUGUAUUCAUCAAUUGCAUUUAAAGCAACCUUAAAUCCCUGAUUACCUUCUGUUCGAAUUAUUGAAGUAUUUCCUGAUCACUUGGUUACAUGUAAGAAGUGUGUACAGAUGUUAUAAGCAUGAUGCUGGGUCAUUAAAAAAAUAAAUAAAUAAAUAAAAAGUUGCACUCUCGGAUGCCUGAUAUUAUACUGAAGGUGAAUAAAAGCACAACCAUGAUGUAACCAUGAUAUCAUAUAUUGUUGAUUGUAUUUUAAGUGUUCCUCAAUGCAUUUAAUGAUUCUUAUCAAGAUCAUAUAGUAUUUCUAUGGACAUAAUAACAGCAGUGUGAACAGAAUGUUCGGGGACCAGUUUUCUUCCAUCAUGCAUUGCUCUGUUUUAGUGUUUUUCUCUUUUGCUCUCUCGCUCUCUGAAGGUCUGACUUUUCCUGGCCUACUUUAAACACAUACUGUAUGCUUGCACUGCACCAUGACUAUAAAAGCUGCAUCUGAUUGUUUUGUUUUUUUUUUAAUAAAAAUAAAGAAAUAAAGCAUCGUG